rnacentral:lncRNA from 1 species
CCGUGGUGGAGAGACACGUGAGUUGCGUCCACCGUGCAGUACAGUGCCUCCAGUCUUGGGGUAAGCCGCUUAUAUUAUAGCUGCUAGUAUUUUUAAAGUAGAGAAGAUUAAGGUUAUCUUUGCCCUUUUUUGUUUGUAGGGUUUGAUUGCUGCCGCACCCUCUCAGGGAUCAACUGCCUGAUUUUAAGCGAAGAGUUGAGACGCCUGCCUAGCUGCUGUCUUGUCUUGCCUUGUUUUAUCUUGUGUUCCGAUCUGUUGGCUGUCCAAUUUUGUUCCUGCUGCUUGUCUCGCCUCGCCCCUGGGGGCUUUGGGUCUCACGCUAAGCCCCUUUUGGACUAUCGUUUCACUCCAGCUUUCGCGGCUGGUCGGGGCGAUCCUCAGCUGCAUAUUGGGCUGGUGUUACAAGACUGGUACUGCCUCUCCCUUUUCUCUCAGUUGUGGAGAGCUACGCGAGACUGAGUGGGGCUACGGACAAUCGGAACGAGCACCAGCUGUGGGCUGGCUCACAGACGAACUGAGGAUCUACCAGCGGCCGUGGGACCUUAGGUGGCGGGUCGUUUUCCACACUUCUUUUGUUGUACAGCACCAGGUGAAUAGACUAUAGUGGGUUUUUUGUGUGGUUUUCUUUUGGUCCACCGCUGCUGGUAAGUCCCAGUUGUGUUUAUUUUUUUUUAUUGUAAUUUGGGACACCGUUUUAGACAUUCAGUGCGCUGUCAUUGUUGUUUUGUUUUUAUUUUACAUUAAUAAAUAAAAUUGUUAAUAUUUGAGUCGGCCUCAGUGUGCAUCCCUGAACCUGUGCAAAUGUUGUUGUUUUAAUUACAUUUCAUUUUUAAAGUUCAUAUUUCCUGGGGGCUAGAAUUCCCCCUCAGGUGGCGUUGUCAUUUUAUUAUUUCUUUUAUAACCCCGCCGACCACUUGGUCACAGAUGCAGAGCAUUAAUCUCUACUGAAUUUACUGCUUUUUUUAAUGUCCAUUUUUGUUCCAUUACAUUAAGGUACAGAAUUAUCACCACAGUUUCCACACUGGUCAUCAAGGCCUUGUGCGAGCCAUUGGUACUGUCUUUCUA